ensembl:lncRNA
CUUCCCUGAGCGCUGCUCCGGGCGACGUGCCCACCCAGCGCCCUGUCCUGCAGACCCCGGGGUCAUUCCCCUCCCCGCCCCCCCCCCGCCCCCCCCCCCCCGCCCCGAGGCACCGUUUCCCUGCUACCCAGGCAUUUCACAUUUGUUUGCAAUUUAUUAGUAAAAAGCGUCACAUUUUUUUCUCUAAGUUAAAACCGAAGCUCUGGAAUCCGGAAACCAAGGAGCCGAAUUGUACCGACGAGUGCGUUGGGCCCUCCGUGGAUGCGGCGGAGAGCCUGGUCUUCCGGCCGCGGGGCCUCCGCGGUGCAGCCUGACCUGCCGCGCCUGCGGGGCGGGGUGGGGGGGGGACAGGGUCAUCUUGACACAGCUCUCGCCCACCUGCACGAGGGCUUGGCCGCCCCUCCCGCCCUGCCCCUGCCGGCUUGCCUGGAGAGCCGGGCUCGGCCCCUCUGAAUCAUCCCCACAGGCUCCUCCCUCUCGUGAACGCCCCAUUUGUACUUCCCCGCGCCCCCCCGCCCCGCCCCGUCCCCUUUCCUGGCCCCCAAUAGCCGCGCCUUCCCAGGGCCUCGCCUGCCCUGCCUGAGCCACCGGGAGCCGCGCUGAGUCACGGUGAACCCGGGUCACCCAGCCGCGAUCGGGAAAUGCCCCCUCGAGCCUUCUACUCUGGAGCACAGCCGCAGGUGACUUCCGGGACUCCGUUCUGUUUUGUCAUUCCCCCCCCCCCCCCCCCCCCCCCACUCCCCGCCACCGGUCGGUCCUCGCAGAAACCUUCCCCACUGAUUUCCUGUACUCGCUGCCUGGGGCAGGUGGCACAAAAAGGACCGGGACACUCUGCCUUCAGGGGUGUUUAUUUCUCGGAUGCAAACGGGAAAUCCCUGCAGACUGCUCCCUGCUGGCCGUUCAGUGAAACAGCACGUACAUCUGAUCUCUUCCUGUGUAGGGGAAAUUUCCGGAACAAACUGUAGAGGGCACCCCACCCUCCUGUUAGGGAGCGCCUCCGCGGGCCGCAGGGUUUGCUUCCAGCAGCAGCAAGAUGCCUUUUUCCUCGGUGUCACUGUCCCGAGGCCACUCUGCAGCAGAUGGCCGGCUGCUGGCGGGACUCCGCGGCCAGGCCCCUUCAUUGUUUUCAGGGAGCCAGAUCGAAGGAUGUCUGAAAGAAAGGACGGUCAGCCAGCUGUGGGCCAUGGAGUCGGUGGGCGCCUGACCGGACGGGAGGGAGGACAGUGUCUCUCUUCUCUGGGAGGCCGGACUGCUCUUUGUGGCUGGAGGGAAACGGACGGUCCUGCAUUGGCCCACGUUUCUACGGAGGGACAGGUGACUUUGCCCGGGCACCAUUUGGACAAUUGGAGGAAACUGAAAACUUCUUGUGUACAUUCUCUGCUGAGUUUACAUUGAAAUAUUGGGUCUUUGGGACUCCCGGGUGGCUCAGUUGGUUGAGUGUCCAACUUUGGCCCAGGUCACGAUCUCAUGGUUUGUGGGUUCGAGCCCCGCGUCAGGUUCUGUGCUGAUAGCUUGGACCCUGGAGCCUGCUCCCAUUCUGUGUCUCCCUCUUUGUUCUGACCCUCCCCAGCUUGUGCUCUGUCUCUCUCUCUCUCUCAAAAAUAAAUAAACAUUAAAAAAAGGAAAUAUUGUUUUU